CGGCCCUCGCGGGGGUGCAUUGUAGUUGCAUUGCAUGUGUCAGACUGGGAGUGCAAUGCCCCUGCCAUGCAGCCCGGCGGGGGUCCC
ensembl:miRNA